rnacentral:rRNA from 1 species
UGGUGGAGUGAUUUGUCUGCUUAAUUGCGAUAACGAACGAGACCUUAACCUGCUAAAUAGCCCGGGUGGCGUUCGCCGCUCGCUGGCUUCUUAGAGGGACUAUCGGCUCAAGCCGAUGGAAGUUUGAGGCAAUAACA